AUGCCUUACUCGACCACCAAUAGAUACCCUGAAGUGGCUCAUUGAAUAUACCCACCCCAUCCAUAAGCUGCAUCUAGGUUCUGGCUUUGAUGUUGAAGUCAGCAUUUCUGCAGACCGUGCUGGGACACAGCCAGGACAGUCAGCUGGGUUUGGGGCUUAAUUCUCAGAAAGCCCUUCCCUUUUUCCUGCAGCCCUGAGACACAUAAUUUGAGGACUCUGCUUUGUAGAAGACUCCAGACCAAGAUUCUUAUUUCAUUUCUUCUCUGUAUUCUGCAUCACCAGCAUAUGUAACCCAUCUACCUAUUGUGGCUGCUGUACAAGGAGGGAGGGUGACAGAGUGGAGAUAGAAUUUGUUCUGGAGUCAGAGGAUUUGGGUUUGAAUCUUGACUUGGACAUUAACUGUAUGAUCUUGGGAGAAAUGGCAACUUCAGAAGUGGUCAAAGAAAAUCAUAUUCCCCUUAUUCAGAAGAACAAGAGGAUGUUUAACCUGGAAGAGACAUAAUAAUCAAUCAAACAACAAGCAUGUAAGUAUCUAUCAUGUACUAGGCACUAUGUUAAAAGCAUCAUUGUUGACUUCAAAUAUUUGAAGGACUGUUAUAUGGAAGAGG
rnacentral:lncRNA from 1 species